GAUGAAGAACGUAGCGAAAUGCGAUAAGUAAUGUGAAUUGCAGAAUUCAGUGAAUCAUCGAAUCUUUGAACGCACAUUGCGCCCCCUGGUAUUCCGGGGGGCAUGCCUGUUCGAGCGUCAUUUCAACCCUCAAGCUCUGCUUGGUAUUGAGUCCAUGUCAGCAAUGGCAGGCUCCAAAAUCAGUGGCGGCGCCGCUGGGUCCUGAACGUAGUAAUAUCUCUCGUUACAGGUGCUCGGCGUGCUUCUGCCAAAACCCCAAUUUUUCUAUGGUUGACCUCGGAUCAGGUAGGGAUACCCGCUGAACUUAAGCAUAUCAAUAAGCGCAGGA
rnacentral:misc_RNA from 1 species